rnacentral:rRNA from 1 species
GAUAAACGCUGGCGGCGUGCAUGAGACAUGCAAGUCAUACGGACGAGCUUGCUCGUUAGUGGCGAACGGCUGAGUAACGCGUAGGUGACCUGCCCCGAAGUGGGGGAUAACUGCCCGGAAGGGUGGCUAAUACCGCAUGUGGAGACGUGUUCAUUCACGUCAUCAAAGCCGCGAGGCGCUUCGGGAGGGGCCUGCGUCCGAUUAGCUCGUUGGUGGGGUAACGGCUCACCAAGGCGACGAUCGGUAGGUGGUCUGAGAGGACGAUCACCCAGACUGGGACUGAGACACGGCCCAGACUCCUACGGGAGGCAGCAGUCGGGAAUUUUGCUCAAUGGGGGAAACCCUGAAGCAGCAACGCCGCGUGCGGGAUGAAGGCCUUCGGGUUGUAAACCGCUUUUACCAGGGACGAUAAUGACGGUACCUGAUGAAUAAGUCACGGCUAACUACGUGCCAGCAGCCGCAGUAAUAC